GACUCAAAGGCUUUUACUGCCGAAUUGAAUGUUGAAUUGAACAAUAGGUCCGUAGCUUAGACUCCAGUGAUUGUAGGCUACUAGGUGUUAUGGUUUGAUAUUUUUAAAUGUGAUACCCGAGAUAUGUACAGCAGACUACAAUUGAGUCAAUAAGCUAGACCAGGAAUGUUAUCAUUGAAUUUAAUUUGAGAGGUCAACAGCUUAGAACGUAGCCUAACAGUGAUAGAGAAAACAUUUCUAUGGCUCUGACCUAACAGUUUUCAUGAGGCCAGACAUUUCCCAAAUAUUCAAUUUUAAGCGGCUCGGGAACGUUGAGACUGUUGGGGGGGAACGAGUGAAGAGUUCCACAUGCUUGGCAGCGGAGAGCUUGUCUACUGUACUGCCACAUCACCAAGACACCCACCCUGGGGCCCUGCUUGUGUUGCUCAUCCUCUUUGGAAGCAACAAGAACACAGUGAAUAAUGAUGCAGGACAGGCAGUUGCUGCAGGCACCAAUUUCAGUGAGUCAAGGGGAGGAAGCUGAUGCUGCACAGGAUUUCCUGGAAAGCAGCAGUAGGAUGGGACUGUGGACUGCAACAGCGUUGAGCCAGGUGCGUCAAGGCCUACAUGCAUGAUGUCUCUCGCUUGGAAUGAGUAUAAAGCUUGACAAGCAACAGGUUCAGUGCUUCACCCCUUGGCCCUCAGCAUGUUGAAAAGAACAGAUACAAAUUCUACAUGAAAAUAAUUGGAGAGUUGGUUACAUUUCUUGCAGUGAAAGAGCUGCCAUUGUGUUGAGAUCAGGGCAGUACUAAUGAUGAGUGUUAAAUGUGCUGAUGGCCUGGCUGUUGGUCUGAAAUUAUACGAAUACACACUUGAGAAGGAUACAGUAUGUAGGCCAAGA